UUAAGUUAAUAAGGGCGCACGGUGGAUGCCUUGGCACUAGAAGCCGAUGAAGGACGUGACUAACGACGAAAUGCUUUGGGGAGCUGUAAGUGAGCAAUGAUCCAGAGAUGUCCGAAUGGGGGAACCCGGCAGGUAAUGCCUGUCACUCAUUACUGUUAAGGUAAUGUAGAGGAAGACGCAGUGAACUGAAACAUCUAAGUAGCUGCAGGAAGAGAAAGCAAAAGCGAUUGCCUUAGUAGCGGCGAGCGAAACGGCAAGAGGGCAAACCGAAGAGUUUACUCUUCGGGGUUGUAGGACUGCAACGUGGACUUAAAGAUUAUAGAAGAACUACCUGGGAAGGUAGGCCAAAGAGAGUAAUAGCCUCGUAUUCGAAAUAGUCUUUAUACCUAGCAGUAUCCUGAGUACGGCGAGACACGAGAAAUCUCGUCGGAAUCUGGGAGGACCAUCUCCCAACCCUAAAUACUCUCUAGUGACCGAUAGUGAACCAGUACCGUGAGGGAAAGGUGAAAAGCACCCCGGGAGGGGAGUGAAAUAGAACCUGAAACCGUGUGCCUACAACAAGUUCGAGCCCGUUAAUGGGUGAGAGCGUGCCUUUUGUAGAAUGAACCGGCGAGUUACGAUAUGAUGCGAGGUUAAGUUGAAGAGACGGAGCCGUAGGGAAACCGAGUCUUAAUAGGGCGCAUUAGUAUCAUGUCGUAGACCCGAAACCAUGUGACCUACCCAUGAGCAGGUUGAAGGUGAGGUAAAACUCACUGGAGGACCGAACCAGGGCACGUUGAAAAGUGCUUGGAUGACUUGUGGGUAGCGGAGAAAUUCCAAACGAACUUGGAGAUAGCUGGUUCUCUCCGAAAUAGCUUUAGGGCUAGCGUCGAUGUUAAGUCUCUUGGAGGUAGAGCACUGUUUGGGUGAGGGGUCCAUCCCGGAUUACCAAUCUCAGAUAAACUCCGAAUGCCAACGAGAUAUAAUCGGCAGUCAGACUGCGAGUGCUAAGAUCCGUAGUCGAAAGGGAAACAGCCCAGACCACCAGCUAAGGUCCCAAAAUAUAUGUUAAGUGGAAAAGGAUGUGGGGUUGCACAGACAACUAGGAUGUUAGCUUAGAAGCAGCUAUUCAUUCAAAGAGUGCGUAAUAGCUCACUAGUCGAGUGACCCUGCGCCGAAAAUGUACCGGGGCUAAAACAUAUUACCGAAGCUGUGGAUACCUUUAUAGGUAUGGUAGGAGAGCGUUCUAUGUGCGAAGAAGGUGUACCGUGAGGAGUGCUGGAGCGCAUAGAAGUGAGAAUGCCGGUAUGAGUAGCGAAAGACAGGUGAGAAUCCUGUCCACCGUAAGACUAAGGUUUCCAGGGGAAGGCUCGUCCGCCCUGGGUUAGUCGGGACCUAAGGAGAGACCGAAAGGUGUAUCCGAUGGACAACAGGUUGAUAUUCCUGUACUAGAGUAUAUAGUGAUGGAGGGACGCAGUAGGCUAACUAAACCAGACGAUUGGAAGUGUCUGGCCAAGCAGUGAGGUGUGAUAUGAGUCAAAUGCUUAUAUCUAUAACAUUGAGCUGUGAUGGGGAGCGCAGUUUAGUAGCGAAGUUAGUGAUGUCACACUGCCGAGAAAAGCUUCUAGCGUUAAUUAUACUCUACCCGUACCGCAAACCGACACAGGUAGUCGAGGCGAGUAGCCUCAGGUGAGCGAGAGAACUCUCGUUAAGGAACUCGGCAAAAUGACCCCGUAACUUCGGGAGAAGGGGUGCUGGUCGCAAGACCAGCCGCAGUGAAAAGGCCCAGGCGACUGUUUAUCAAAAACACAGGUUUCUGCAAAAUCGUAAGAUGAAGUAUAGGGGCUGACGCCUGCCCGGUGCUGGAAGGUUAAAAGGAAGAGUUAGCUUCGGCGAAGCCCUGAAUUGAAGCCCCAGUAAACGGCGGCCGUAACUAUAACGGUCCUAAGGUAGCGAAAUUCCUUGUCGGGUAAGUUCC
rnacentral:rRNA from 1 species